GGUGGCUCAGUGGUAGAGCGCUUGCCUAGCAUACAGGAAACCCUGGGUUCAAUUCCCCAGUACCA
rfam:Dipodomys ordii contig_15158, whole genome shotgun sequence.